ensembl:lncRNA
GGAAAGGGACCGCUGCGUGGAACCAGGGGCCUCCAGGUCCCUACGUCUCUUUAAGGACGGUCCUGCCUGGCUGGACCUUAGAGAUUCUUCUCAAACCAGAACUGCAGGAUAACCAUGCAAGGUAUUAUCUACAUUGGUUGGUUGGAGCGUGGCAUUGACGAGCUCACAGUCAGGGCUUCGGUUCCCUUCCCUCAGUCAAAAUCAGUCAGAGAAACACAGAGAAGGCUGUCCUGCAACCUCUGAUCCUGCUGUAAUUCUGUUACCUGUGCCACAUGGUCAGGUGUUCAUAAGGAUGUUUCUUCCUCCCGUGGAGACUCAGGAGACACCUAUUAGUCAGUCUGGAGCCUCCAGGUAUCUGAGUUGCUGCAGGAGGAGAAACACGAUGUCUCUCCUUUCGUGGAGAUUUGUUGCAUGUUUACCAAGGUGAAAGGAUUAGUGCCCGGGAGAUCAUUUGCUUUCAUAAGCUUUAAACUAGGGCGGUGAAAGUUUCAUGCCUUGAUUCUCUUCCAACAGCUCUCUCUCUCAGCAAGGCAGAGAGGAGCAAGCUGAGACCUACAGAUUGCCAGCAGACUUUUCCAACAAAAUUGCCCUGUCUCAAUCAGUUAAACUGGGUGGGAAGGGAGGGCUUCUGCCAGCUUUCUCCCUUCUCUUCCACCCUGUGGAGAGACACCCGAAGCAUUCCAGAGGGCUUGAUAAUCAAGAUGAAAUACUCCAGAUUGCUAAGUCUCCAUAAUACCCAAACCCCAGACCAUAUGUACCGAUAAUUCACGUACUCCCUAACCUUUGCGUUUUGCAUGUAACCUCCCUGUCAAAC